rnacentral:rRNA from 1 species
UACGGAGGGAGCUAGCGUUGGUCGGAAUUACUGGGCGUAAAGCGCACGUAGGCGGCUUUGUAAGUUAGAGGUGAAAGCCCGGGGCUCAACUCCGGAACUGCCUUUAAGACUGCAUCGCUUGAAUCCAGGAGAGGUGAGUGGAAUUCCGAGUGUAGAGGUGAAAUUCGUAGAUAUUCGGAAGAACACCAGUGGCGAAGGCGGCUCACUGGACUGGUAUUGACGCUGAGGUGCGAAAGCGUGGGGAGCAAACAGG